GCCCCGGGAUUGCUCGGAGAUGCACCGGGAGAGCCCCGGGAUGCACCGGGAGAGCUCCAGGAUGCACCGGGAGAGCCUGGGAUGCACAGGGACAGCCGCGGGAGGCACCGAGAGAGCCCCGAGAUGCACCGGGAGAGCGCCGGGAUGCAUCAGGAGAACCCCGGGAUGCACCGGGACAGCCCCUGAAGCACCGGGAGAGCCCCGGGAUGCACCGGGAGAGCUCCGGGAUGCACCGGGAGAGCCCCGGGAUGCAUCGGGAGAACCGUGGGAUGCACCAGGACAGCUCCGGGAUGCACCGGGAGAGCCCCUGAAGCCCCGGGAGAGCCCCGGGAUGCCUCGGCACAGCUCCGGAAUGCACCAGGACAGCUCCGGGAUGCACCGGGAGAGCCCCGGGAUGCACCGGGAGAGCCCCGGGAUGCACCGGGAGAACCGCUGAAGCACCGGGACAGCUCCGGGAUGCACCAGGACAGCUCCGGGAUGCACCGGGAGAGCUCCGGGAUGCACCGGGAGAGCCCCGGGGAGCAGCGGAGCUCCCUUCUCCCCGCAGUGCCCCCGUGCUCUGGGAACAAGGACAGCCUCACCUGUGCCCGCCCCGCCGGGACCCGCCCUGCAGGUCGGAUGUCGCAUUUACAGAGGGCUCGAGUUCGGUGCAAGGAGCCAUCUGUUUGCUUGGAAGAAAGUGAUUGUGCUGGAGGAUUUUUAGUCCUGUGACAGCAAAGCCAAGGAACAAACAAACCAAACAAAAUCAAAAUACCCGUGGGAAGUAAAAUACAGAAUCGAGCCCGACAACUAUUCAUAUACUGUGGAAACAUUUUAUUUAACCUCAGUUUCUCUUCCUCCUCCCUUUUAUUUUUUUCCUUUGCCAUUCCUUCCCCUCUUCCCCUUUUCCCUCUUCCCUCCCUUUUCCACUUCCCCCCCUUUUUUCCCUUCCCUUUUUUUUAAAUUUUUUAAAUUUUUUUUUAACCUCCAGGCAGAAAAUCCCAAUUGUUCAAAGCAGCUGGGAGAAAAAAUCAGGGGAAAUGCAUUUAUUCAUUUCUUCAAGGUGAGAGAAGAGAAACUGUUCAGAUUUGGAUGGAUACUGUUUCAGCAAUGACCCCUGAUUACAUGAGGCAUUAAGUAACAUUAAAUAUUAAGUUACAUUACACUAGAUACAAUAAGUACAUUAAUGUACUGUUUUACUGUUUUCCUUCCUUGGUACCACCUGCCUCUCCCCUUCCUAGCUAGAUUUUAGGAAUUUAACCUUUCUGAACUGCAAUGCCACCAAUUCAAGUUUCAAUUUCUAAAUUUUAGAAUUAUUCUUGGAAAUGCUGGUCAGAGCUUCUAAGCACAUUCCUGACCGAGCAAAGAAUUUGUAUUUUGGAUGAUUUCCUUAUGAUAAGACAUUUAUGUCCUAAAAUAUGGUGUAUUUCUUAGGAUGUUUUCCAAUUACUUUCUCAGAGGGUAGAGCUGAUGAUCUUUAAGGUCCCUUCCAACCUGGAUAUUCGGUGAUUCCACGAUUCUCCUUCAGUGGUGGUGACAUGCCAUGAAAAGUAAAUCACGUGUAGAAUCGUUGUGCAGGACAACAGCCCAUGGUUAUCUUGUUAUUAUUUCAUCCCUUCCUAACCCUUAAAGCUGACACCGGGCAAGGGUGUCAGAAUCUGAGGGCAACAAAACAAUUCCCACACAGCAGCCCUGGGAGAGGAGAGGGGGAGGCAGUUAAAAAAGAAAAAAAGAAAAAAAGAAAGAAAGGAAAUAAAUAAUUGCUACAUUUGGGCUGGACAAUACCAGUUCUGUGCAAAGCCCUGCCCUGGCACUCUGCCCCAUCCCAGGGCACAUUCCCUCUUCCAGGGCAGGGCUUUUUCCUGAGUGACCAACACGCUCUGCCUCGUGUUCCCACCUCCAGCUGCUGCUUCUCCUCCCCUGAGCCCCCACCACGUCUGUCCCCUGUCCUUCCUUCUGUCCAUCCCACGGGAAGCUGUUUAGGAUCAACACUUCCCUGAGGAAUGCCAGUGACUCUCCAGCCAUCCCCUCCCACUUUGCUUCCCCACCCUGGUACAGAAGAAGUUGCUCUAAUAAAGAGCUUAAUUUAAGAAUUUGAAAUGCACAGAAGUAACACAGAAUGGUUUGGAAGGGAAGGGAUCUUAAAGAUCAUCUCAUUCCAACCCCCUCCCCUGGGCAGGGACACCUCCUCCUAUCCCAGGUUGCUCCAAGCCCUGUCCAGGCUGGCCUUGGACACUUCCAGGGAUGGGAGAUUUAGAAUCCCUCUGGACAACCUUUGCCCCCCUCACAUAAAGAAUUUCUUCCCAAUAUCCAAUCCAAACCUGCUCUCUUUGAGUCCAGGCCAUUCCCCCUUGUUCUGACUCCAUGGCCCUAUGGAAAGUCCCUCCCCAGCUCCCCUUUAGGCACUGAAAGCUGCUCUGAGGUCACCCCAGAGCCUUCUCUUCUCCAGGCUGGGUUCUACACAAAGUUUUACAGCCCAACAAAACACCCCAGGAUGAGUCUGACACCUUUUGUAAAAAUUGCAAACCUAGAAUUUGGGUGAAGCUAAAACACAACGCAACAAAGCAGAUCCUGAGUUUGACUUCAGCAGGAGCUUCCCAGACCCCAGGGCAGAGUUCAGAACUGAUUUGUGUUUAGCACUGGAUGUUUCCUGGCUGUGCUCAAGGUAGCCAGGAUUCUCUCAGACUGCUCCUUGCACCAAACAAAGGCCAAGGCGUGUUUGGAAUGUUUGGAGAUGCCACCACGCAGCUUCUGCAGCUCAGUGACUCAGGCAGCACCUGAGGGAUGAGGAAUUAGGCAGGUUCCCCACGCUGGAUUGAGUCUCUUAAAGCCCUGACUAAACCCAAGAGCCCCUGGAGUCGUGCUUUGCUGGGAUCCCAGUAACACAGCUGGAAGGGCACACACGAACUGGUUUUUCUCUGUGGCACAUCAGGAGGGUUGAGUUACAGUGUAGCAGCCAAAAUUUCACACAGAUUUUGUCAUUUUUUUCCCCAAACCCAAGGCCUCCGAGUUCUUUUUCUUCCCAGAGAAUAGAUUACCCUGAGAACUUUUGGCCUUCUCUUCAAGGAGCUCUGGGACAUGACUGAUGAGGUAAUUCUUCACAAAAACAAUGCUCCUGUAUGCUUAAAAAAACCAAUUUAUAACCAGCCCUUUGUUCUGUGCUGAUAAACAAUUAAUAACACCCCACAAUAUUUAUUUCCAGUGCCUUCCACUCCAAGGCUUCCCAACCCAACCUGUUCUGGGGCAGGCCGAUGUCAAAACCAGCCUGAUUAACAAUUAACAAGGCCAUGAUUGAUUUAUCAUUACCAGCAACAGCUUUAUGGGCAAUUGUUUCCAGCUCCUUCACCUCAGAAGAGGCGAUUUUUCAACUCUGAGAGUUUGAAAGUCAAGAGGCAGCAUUGAAACAAAUGUAGAGCUCUCCACAUCUCUCACAGUUCUUAUUGCUGCUGCGUGGAGAGCACUUAAUUCAGAUUUUAUUAAGGGAACUUCUGGCUGUGCAGUAAAGGAACAGAGGAACACUCUGCUGUGACAGGUCUGAAGUUUAUUCUCUCUGUAUUCAGUGCAGACAUCACAAACCCCAGCCACAAACUUAACUGCAGAAAAUGAAAUUAAGUUUUUAGUACCAGAAUUCAUUUAGUACCAGAAUAUAAGUCAGUAAUUAUUUAUUGAUGUAUUAAUGACACCAACUGAUUAUGUUUGGCCAUAAAAGGUGGAUCAGUGCUAUUUUUAUUUUCACCUAAUUCCAUUUAGUUCUGAUAAUAAGGAAUGUCUGUCCAACAGGGAUUCUGGUCUUGAGUCUCCCCCCAGA